UGCGAACGGGUGAGUAACGCGUAGGUAACCUGCCUUGUAGCGGGGGAUAACUAUUGGAAACGAUAGCUAAUACCGCAUAACAAUGAAUGACUCAUGUCAUUUAUUUGAAAGGGGCAAUUGCUCCACUACAAGAUGGACCUGCGUUGUAUUAGCUAGUAGGUGAGGUAACGGCUCACCUAGGCGACGAUACAUAGCCGACCUGAGAGGGUGAUCGGCCACACUGGGACUGAGACACGGCCCAGACUCCUACGGGAGGCAGCAGUAGGGAAUCUUCGGCAAUGGGGGCAACCCUGACCGAGCAACGCCGCGUGAGUGAAGAAGGUUUUCGGAUCGUAAAGCUCUGUUGUAAGUCAAGAACGAGUGUGAGAGUGGAAAAUUCACACUGUGACGGUAGCUUACCAGAAAGGGACGGCUAACUACGUGCCAGCAGCCGCGGUAAUACGUAGGUCCCGAGCGUUGUCCGGAUUUAUUGGGCGUAAAGCGAGCGCAGGCGGUUUGAUAAGUCUGAAGUUAAAGGCUGUGGCUCAACCAUAGUUCGCUUUGGAAACUGUCAAACUUGAGUGCAGAAGGGGAGAGUGGAAUUCCAUGUGUAGCGGUGAAAUGCGUAGAUAUAUGGAGGAACACCGGUGGCGAAAGCGGCUCUCUGGUCUGUAACUGACGCUGAGGCUCGAAAGCGUGGGGAGCGAACAGGAUUAGAUACCCUGGUAGUCCACGCCGUAAACGAUGAGUGCUAGGUGUUGGAUCCUUUCCGGGAUUCAGUGCCGCAGCUAACGCAUUAAGCACUCCGCCUGGGGAGUACGACCGCAAGGUUGAAACUCAAAGGAAUUGACGGG
rnacentral:rRNA from 1 species